rnacentral:rRNA from 1 species
GUCGGGAGUUAGGAAAUGCAGGUUGGUUAAUACCCAACCUGUUUGACAAAGGCCCCAAAGGAAGCCACGGCUAACUCUGUGCCAGCAGCCGCGGUAAUACAGAGGUGGCAAGCGUUGUUCGGUAUUAUUGGGCGUAAAGAGCACGUAGGUGGUUUUGUAAGUCAGAUGUGAAAGCCUUCUGUUCAAAGGAAGAACGGCAUCUGAGACUGCAGAUCUUGAGUGUAGGAGGGGAGAGUGGAACUUCUGGU